AGAAAGCAGGAACUCUUCUAUCCACAUGUGACGGACUCAACAAAGAUCUUGGGUUAAUAUCCACAAUGCAUCAACACAAGGUGUGUGAGCAAAGUGGAUGACACAUUGAAUAGCAGGAGAUGGAUUACACAUCUCUUUUAUCUGCCAAUUGCCUUAUCAAAGGACUUUUCCUGCCUGGCACAAAGAUAAACAAACACAAGCAUUGCCUCUUAAGGAGGACUUCAGACAGGCGCCUGCCCAAGUAACAGGACAGGUCUUCC
rnacentral:lncRNA from 1 species